rnacentral:tRNA from 1 species
ACAGAUUUAAGUUAAGUUUAAACUAUUAGUUUUCAAAACUAAAAAUUGAUUUCUG